AUCCUUUGAAGCCCAAGAAGCAAAAAUCCUUCAAGUUCCUCCACAAGAGAGAGAAAGAGGAGGAGGAGGACAGGAUGGAGAAGAGGAAGGAGAACGUGGAGAGAAAGAUUGACAAGCGGAAGGAGAAGGAGGAGAAAAAGAGGUUUAAGAAGGACAUGAAGAAGAAGGAGGAACAGGAGGAAGAGGCAGUGCCAGUGUUUGAAGUGCCACUGUGCCUGGCCGUCCAGCGCUGCCCGGCACACGAUGGCAUCCAGCUGCCCGCCAUUGUCAGGGAGUGCAUUGACCAGAUAGAGGUGCCUGAGGACGCCUUCCCAUGGACAGCAGCAGGCGACAUCCUCCUGAGGGGCUGCUGUGUGGCGUCCAUCCUUCCUU